rnacentral:rRNA from 1 species
GGGAGCCGUAGGGAAACCGAGUCUUAACCGGGCGUUAAGUUGCAGGGUAUAGACCCGAAACCCGGUGAUCUAGCCAUGGGCAGGUUGAAGGUUGGGUAACACUAACUGGAGGACCGAACCGACUAAUGUUGAAAAAUUAGCGGAUGACCUGUGGCUGGGGGUGAAAGGCCAAUCAAACCGGGAGAUAGCUGGUUCUCCCCGAAAGCUAUUUAGGUAGCGCCUCGUGAAUUCAUCUCCGGGGGUAGAGCACUGUUUCGGCUAGGGGGCCAUCCCGGCUUACCAACCCGAUGCAAACUGCGAAUACCGGAGAAUGUUAUCACGGGAGACACACGGCGGGUGCUAACGUCCGUCGUGAAGAGGGAAACAACCCAGACCGCCAGCUAAGGUCCCAAAGUCAUGGUUAAGUGGGAAACGAUGUGGGAAGGCCCAGACAGCCAGGAUGUUGGCUUAGAAGCAGCCAUCAUUUAAAGAAAGCGUAAUAGCUCACUGGUCGAGUCGGCCUGCGCGGAAGAUGUAACGGGGCUAAACCAUGCACCGAAGCUGCGGCAGCGAACGUAUCACCCAAGACAACUUUACGGAGUUGACGAUUGACGGAGCGAAGCGACGUCAAAGCGUUCAUUAAAGUCGAGUUGGCUUAGGGAUACGUUCGUUGGGUAGGGGAGCGUUCUGUAAGCCUGUGAAGGUGUGUCGUGAGGCAUGCUGGAGGUAUCAGAAGUGCGAAUGCUGACAUAAGUAACGAUAAAGCGGGUGAAAAGCCCGCUCGCCGGAAGACCAAGGGUUCCUGUCCAACGUUAAUCGGGGCAGGGUGAGUCGACCCCUAAGGCGAGGCCGAAAGGCGUAGUCGAUGGGAAACGGGUUAAUAUUCCCGUACUUGGUGUUACUGCGAAGGGGGGACGGAGAAGGCUAUGUUGGCCGGGCGACGGUUGUCCCGGUUUAAGCGUGUAGGUGUGUGUUCCAGGUAAAUCCGGUUCACUUUAACACUGAGGCGUGACGACGAGGCACUACGGUGCUGAAGCAACAAAUGCCCUGCUUCCAGGAAAAGCCUCUAAGCAUCAGGUAACACGAAAUCGUACCCCAAACCGACACAGGUGGUCAGGUAGAGAAUACCAAGGCGCUUGAGAGAACUCGGGUGAAGGAACUAGGCAAAAUGGUGCCGUAACUUCGGGAGAAGGCACGCUGACACGUAGGUGAAGUGAUUUACUCAUGGAGCUGAAGUCAGUCGAAGAUACCAGCUGGCUGCAACUGUUUAUUAAAAACACAGCACUGUGCAAACACGAAAGUGGACGUAUACGGUGUGACGCCUGCCCGGUGCCGGAA